GAUGAACGCUGGCGGCGUGCUUAAUACAUGCAAGUCGAACGGAGACAUUAGCAAUAAUGUUUUAGUGGCGAACGGGUGAGUAACGCGUUGGUGACCUGCCCCGAAGAGAGGGAUAACAGUUCGAAAGGAUUGCUAAUACCCCAUGUGGUUGUUUGGAUUAGAUGCCUUACAACUAAACGGAUUUAUUCGCUUCGGGAGGGGCCUGCGUCCCAUCAGCUAGUUGGUAGGGUAAGGGCCUACCAAGGCUAUGACGGGUAGGGGACCUGAGAGGGUGGCCCCCCACAAUGGAACUGAAACACGGUCCAUACACCUACGGGUGGCAGCAGUAGGGAAUAUUGGUUAAUCUGCGAAAGCGGGAACCAGCAACGCCGCGUGCACGAUGAAGGCCUUCGGGUUGUAAAGUGCUUUUUGAGAGGAUGAGGAAGGACAGUACUCUUAGAAUAAGCUUCGGCUAACUACGUGCCAGCAGCCGCCGUAACAC
rnacentral:rRNA from 1 species